rnacentral:rRNA from 1 species
UACGUAGGGGGCAAGCGUUGUCCGGAUUUAUUGGGCGUAAAGAGCGUGUAGGCGGCCAUGUAGGUCCGUUGUGAAAACUCGAGGCUCAACCUCGAGACGCCGAUGGAAACCAUGUGGCUCGAGUCCGGAAGAGGAGAGUGGAAUUCCUGGUGUAGCGGUGAAAUGCGUAGACAUCAGGAGGAACACCGGUGGCGAAGGCGGCUACCUGGCCUAAGACUGACGCUGAGGUGCGAAAGCGUGGGGAGCGAACGGG